rnacentral:misc_RNA from 1 species
GUAGGUGAACCUGCGGAAGGAUCAUUGUCGAAACCUGCCCAGCAGAACCACAAGAGAACACGUUCAACGCUCGGGGGAGGGGGGCUUGUCCGCUCUUCCCUGCUUCUCGGGGGGUACUGCUGCGUUUGCGGUGGAACCCUCUGAGCGUAAAACGAACACCGGCGUGUAUUGCGCCAAGGAACUUGAAUGAAAGAGCGUUCCCUCG